rnacentral:rRNA from 1 species
GACGAACGCUGGCGGCGUGCUUAACACAUGCAAGUCGAACGGAAAGGCCCUGCUUUUGUGGGGUGCUCGUGUGGCGAACGGGUGAGUAACACGUGAGUAACCUGCCCUUGACUUUGGGAUAACUUCAGGUAACUGGGGCUAAUACCGUAUUUGAGCUCCUGCUGCAUGGUGGGGGUUGGAAAGUUUCGGCGGUUGGGGAUGGACGCGGGGCUUAUCGGCUUGUUGGUGGGGUAGUGGCUUACCAACGCUUUGACGGGUAGGCGGCCUGAGAAGGUGACCGGCGACAAUAGGACUGAGGGACGGCGCAGACAAGUACAGGAGGCAACAGGGGGGAAUAUGACAGAAUGAGGGGGAGCGUAAGGAAGAAGCGCGGAGGGCGGAAAGACGGCCUUCGGGUGGUGAACCGGUUUCGCCUGAGACGAAGCGUGAGUGACGGUAAUGGAUAAAGAAGCACCGGCUAACUACGUG